rnacentral:rRNA from 1 species
UACAGAGGUCUCGAGCGUUUGUUCGGAUUCAUUGGGCGUAAAGGGUGUGUAGGUGGCGCGCUAAGUCGGGUGUGAAAUUUCGGAGCUUAACUCCGAAACUGCAUUCGAUACUGGCGUGCUUGAGGACUGGAGAGGAGACUGGAAUUCAUGGUGUAGCAGUGAAAUGCGUAGAGAUCAUGAGGAAGACCAGUGGCGAAGGCGGGUCUCUGGACAGUUCCUGACACUGAGACACGAAGGCCAGGGGAGCAAACGGG